rnacentral:rRNA from 1 species
AUUGAACGCUGGCGGCAGGCCUAACACAUGCAAGUCGAGCGAGCGGCGGACGGGGGAGUAAUGUCUGGGAAACUGCCCGAUGGAGGGGGAUAACUACUGGAAACGGGGGCUCAUACCGCGUAUGCUCAGGUAUGCCCAGAUGGGAUUAGCUGGAAGGUGGGGGAACGGCUCACCGAGGCGACGCGCCCUAGCUGGUCUGAGAGGAUGACCAGCCACACUGGAACUGAGACACGGUCCAGACUCCUACGGGAGGCAGCAGUGGGGAAUAUUGCACAAUGGGCGCAAGCCUGAUGCAGCCAUGCCGCGUGUGUGAAGAAGGCCUUCGGGUUGUAAAGCACUUUCAGCGGGGAGGCGUUACCCGCAGAAGAAGCACCGGCUAACUCCGUGCCAGCCGCCGCGGUAAUUC